rnacentral:snRNA from 1 species
CAGCCCCUCCAGUAUGACUGAAACUGGANCAGUAUGGAGAAGAUCAGCAUGGCCCUUGUGAAAGAAUGAUACGCAGAUUCAUGAUGCACUCCAUCUUUUU